GGACGCUCACCACUUUGUGGUUCAUGACUGGGGUGAAGUCGUAACAAGGUAGCGCUAGGGGAACCUGGCGCUGGAUCACCUCCUUA
rnacentral:rRNA from 1 species